rnacentral:rRNA from 1 species
AUACGUAGGGGGCGAGCGUUGUCCGGAAUGAUUGGGCGUAAAGGGCGCGUAGGCGGCCCGGUAAGUCUGGAGUGAAAGUCCUGCUUUCAAGGUGGGAAUUGCUUUGGAUACUGCCGCGCUUGAGUGCAGGAGAGGUUAUCGGAAUUCCCGGUGUAGCGGUGAAAUGCGUAGAGAUCGGGAGGAACACCAGUGGCGAAGGCGGGUAACUGGACUGCAACUGACGCUGAGGCGCGAAAGUGUGGGGAGCAAACAGGACUAGAUACCCUGGUAGUCCACACUGUAAACGAUGAAUGCUAGGUGUAAGAGGUAUCGACCCCUUUUGUGCCGGAGUCAACACAAUAAGCAUUCCGCCUGAGUAGUACGGUCGCAAGGUUGAAACUCAAAUGAAUUGACGGGG